AACGAACGCUGGCGGCAUGCCUAACACAUGCAAGUCGAACGGGAUCCUGGCUUCGGCCAGGUGAGAGUGGCGGACGGGUGAGUAACACGUGGGAAUCUGCCUUUUGGUUCGGGAUAACCGCGGGAAACUGCGGCUAAUACCGGAUGCUCCCGAGAGGGAAAAGAUUUAUCGCCAGAAGAGGAGCCCGCGUCCGAUUAGGUAGUUGGUAGGGUAAUGGCCUACCAAGCCAACGAUCGGUAGCUGGUCUGAGAGGAUGAUCAGCCACACUGGGACUGAGAUACGGCCCAGACUCCUACGGGAGGCAGCAGUGGGGAAUAUUGGACAAUGGGGGCAACCCUGAUCCAGCAAUGCCGCGUGAGUGAUGAAGGCCCUAGGGUUGUAAAGCUCUUUUACCAGGGAUGAUAAUGACAGUACCUGGAGAAUAAGCUCCGGCUAACUCCGUGCCAGCAGCCGCGGUAAU
rnacentral:rRNA from 1 species